GGAUCUUUAGCUCAGUUGGUUAGAGCUCUCGGCUCAUAACCGAGCGGUCGUUGGUUCGAAUCCAACAAGAUCCA
rnacentral:tRNA from 14 species